GGUUCCAUGGUCUAAUGGUUAUGACGCGACUUUCACAGACUGGAAUCAGUCGAGGUUCUGAGUUCGAUCCUCAGUGGAAUCA